UACGUAGGGUGCAAGCGUUGUCCGGAAUUAUUGGGCGUAAGGGGCUCGUAGGCGGUUUGUCGCGUCGGGAGUGAAAACUCAGGGCUUAACCCUGAGCCUGCUUCCGAUACGGGCAGACUAGAGGUAUGCAGGGGAGAAUGGAAUUCCUGGUGUAGCGGUGAAAUGCGCAGAUAUCAGGAGGAACACCAAUUGCGAAGGCAGCUCGCUGGGACGUUACUGACGCUGAGACGCGAAAGCGUGGGGAGCAAACAGG
rnacentral:rRNA from 1 species